rnacentral:rRNA from 1 species
UAAUACUCCAUAGAUUAGAGAAACUGGAAUGUUCUUUAAUCGAAAGUUCCGGCGCCAUAGGAUGGAUCUGCGGCCGAUUAGGUAGUUGUUGGGGUAACGGCCCAACAAGCCUGUAAUCGGUACGGGUUGUGGGAGCAAGAGCCCGGAGAUGGAAUCUGAGACACGAUUCCAGGCCCUACGGGGCGCAGCAGGCGCGAAAACUUUACAAUGCAGGAAACUGUGAUAAGGGAACCCCGAGUGCCCGUAUACGCGGGCUGUCCAGGUGUCUAAAACGCAUCUGAAGAAAGGGCCGGGCAAGACCGGUGCCAGCCGCCGCGGUAAUACCGGCGGCUCGAGUGGUGACCACUUUUAUUGGGCUUAAAGCGUUCGUAGCUGGACUCUUAAGUCUCUUGGGAAAUCCCGCGGCUUAACCGUGGGGCGUUUAAGAGAUACUGAGAGUCUAGGAACCGGGAGAGGUAAGAGGUACUUCGGGGGUAGAAGUGAAAUUCUGUAAUCCUCGAGGGACCACCGAUGGCGAAGGCAUCUUACCAGAACGGCUUCGACAGUGAGGAACGAAAGCUGGGGGAGCGAACGGGAUUAGAUACCCCGGUAGUCCCAGCCGUGAACGAUGCGCGUUAGGUGUAC